AUGGUUUACUACAGGAUAUCAAAUAUAGUUCCCUGUGCUAUUCAGUAGGAUCCUAUUCUCUAUUCAUCUUAUACAUAAUAGUUUGCAUCUGCUAAUCCCAAAUGUCACUCUCCUGCCCCCACCCCGGCAACCACAAGUCUAUUUUCCAUGUGAGUCCAUUUCUGUUUUGUAGAUAAGUUCAUUUGUGUCAUAUUUUAGAUUCCAUGUAUAAGGGAUAUCAUCUGAUAUUUAUUUUUCUCUUUCUGGCUUAACUUAGCAUGAAAAUCUCUAAGUCUAUCCAUGUUGCUACAAAUGGCAUGAUUUCAUUCUUUUUUCUGGCUGAAUAAUAUUCCAUUGUGUAUGUAUACCACAUUUUCUUUAUCCUUUCAUCUGUCCAUGGACAUUUAGGUUGUUUCCAUGUCUUGGCUAUUAUAAAUAGUGCUGCUAUGAACAUAAAGGGGCAUAUAUCUUUGGAAUUCUAGUUUUAUCCUGAUUUAUGCCUAGGAGUGGGAUUGCUGGAUCACAUAGCUGCCAAGUCUUGGUUAUUAUCCUGGACUUGGGAAUUCAGGGGAGUGGAUUCAUCAAUGAAUAGAUAAAGGAAAGAGAAAAAAAUUCCUAAUACAUAGAGGGUAUAUCAGCUUUCUGGAUGGAAGUUGAGGGGAAAACUUAAUGUAAUUGGCACAAGUCAUAAGGCCAAGAAAUUCAACUCAAAUGAAAAGUUCAGUCCCUUGAACACGGAUUCUAGGAAACCUGUUGUUCAUUAGCUGGAGGAGAAGCACAAUUGCAGCCAGUAAAACAUCUUCAGGAAUUUAUGUCAGUUGGAAAAUGUUGGGAAUAGAUGAGUUGGUUCUUGACAAUAAGGAAGUGACCUAGAAGGAUGUUUGUGCAGAGUAGGGAUAACCAAUGCCACAGGGCUGGGGAAAGUUUAAUUUCAGGAAGCAGUAUUUAGAAAAAAGAAAUCAAAUGGUUCUCUGGCAUCCAGAUGAAAGUACCAGUUUCACCAUCAGCACUUGAGGAGGACUAUGCUGCUAUAGAAAUAAGUGAGGGGACGGAGUCAGAAGCAGGUGGUUUAACUUACUGGUGGUAAAAGAUAAACAAAGGCACAUUAAACAUUUUAAGAGUUUAUUUGAGAAGUUUCUGUCAUGGCUCAGUGGUUAACAAAUCCGACUAGGAACCAUGAGGUUGUGGGUUCGAUCCCUGGCCUUAUUCAGUGGGUUAAGGAUCCAGUGUUGCUGUGAGCUGUGGUGUAGGUCGCAGACGUGGCUCAGAUCCCACGUUGCUGUGGCUCUGGUGUAGGCCGGUGACUACUGCUCCGAUUAGACCCCUAGCCUGGGAACCUCCAUAUGCCACAGGAGUGGCCCAAGAAAUGGCAAAAAGAUUUAAAAAAAAAAAAAAAGAGUUUAUUUGAGCAAAACAUGGUUCCAGUUGAGCUGCACCAAACCAGAAAUGGUUAGGAACACGCCAUCAACAGGAGCUGGGGAGAGACUUUUAUAUAGAAAGGACUCAGAAGCACAGUAAGGAAAUUGACUGUAGCUUAAAGCCCAGUUGGCUGCUUGUGAUUGGUUGUCCUUAGGUUUUGAUUUCAUAACCUCGAGGCAUUUAUGAAAGUAGGUUUUGGUUUGCUACCAAAGGCCACCCAGGGCAGGAGAGCCACCUCAGUCAAAUGGGCCUCCUUGUUUAAUGAACUUAACAGAUGUUAAGUGUUUAGAGCACGGUUCUGAAGUGUGGCUGCCUGAGUUUGGGUCUCCUUUUGUGAUUUGCUGUGUCACCUUGAACAAGGUAUAUAACCGUGUUGGGAUUAUGGGCCUUAAAUUUGGGGUACCACACUCACAAAUUGGGCUGCAGAGAUCUUAAAUGAAUAGGACAGUCACCCCAAAGGAGAAGGAUCCCUGUAGGAAGGACCUGAGCCUGGAGGUACCACCACAGAAUAGUCCUAAUUUUUCCAGAAGCUGAAAAAACUUUCAAAUGCCUCUCUCAAAAUGCAAGAAAACCAAGUAAAAAAAAAAUUUGUUUUUCCAUAUAAUAUAUAAAAUCAAAAAAGAGACUGGACGUAAAGUAUUAGGUAGUGGUCAUGGCAAUGCCUCUGGGAGGCAGGUGGUGGGUAGGUGUGACAUUCAGAGGGAGAACUUGACUUUAGCUCUCUAAGGAGGGUAGGAAUUGGCCUCUUAGGGCCCUUCCCCCUACCAUAUCCACCAACUUCCUCCAUCAACCACUGUGGGGGAGACGCCUUCCUGUAUACACAGGUGCUAACAGAGCCGUAGUUGAUGGAAGAGCAGGGGACCAUGGCAGAAGCCCUUUCCCAGCCAGUGGCUUAGUUGGUGUCUGUUGUUGCAGCAGGAGGGCUGGAGGUGGCUAUGAAGGAGACUGAAGGCUUAAUAAGAGAGCCAGGAUGGAGCCACAGGUAGGAUGCAGUAUUUCCCGGGAGUAGACCUGAAAUCCAGAUGCCUGGGAAGUUCUGGACUUGGAAAAUGGCUGGGGAUUUUGAUAUUUCCCUCCCUUCUGCCUGGGCAGUUCUACUGCAGGAUUAAUUUCCUACCCAAAAGCAGCAACAGAGUCCUCUUACCCAGCUGAGACACUGGGAGGAUGGGGACAGAAGCUUCUCUCUCGGUCCACAGCCCCCUCAGUCUAGUCCUGCCGGGGGUGGAGAAAGUGGGGGUGAUACCAUCAAAUAGUGAUUAUCAUAGGAGAGCUGUGAUGCCCAUGGAAUCUUCCUUCUUUUCCCCCAAAUGAUGUAUAUAAUCGACAAUUGAAAAGGAAAAGCACAAAGGACUCCCCACAUUUUAAGAAAGGCUAGGUCUGUAGGCCAGCAGUAGUCCCGAGAGCUGUGGUUCCCAAAGUGUGUUCCCCACGCCAGCAGCAUCAGCAUCAGCAUCAGCAUCAGCAUCAGCAUCAGCAUCCCCUAGGAUCCUGUUAGAAAUGCACAUUCUUGCCCCGCCCCUUCACAAGUGCUGAAUGGGACACUGUGGGGGCGGGACCAGCCAUCAGUGGUUUUAACAAGACCUCUGGGUGACUCUGAUGCCCAUCAGCAUUUGAGAAGCACACCCUGGAGCUGGCUGAGAGACAGAUGCCGUUUUGUCAGAAUGGGCACAACCCUUUGUCUUCAGUGACUUAAGGCUGGCAGGACACUGCCCUUGGGCACUAACAAAGUCAACAUUCCCAGGGUGAACCCAUCCCCCCUUAAAGUGCCUGCCUGAGAAAUUGCACCCAUGCCAAAACAAUUUACUUUUUCAUUCUAGCCAACAGCUGCAGGAAGAUAGAUAGGGUCCUUGUCUCCUAGUCUCUGUGGGAGGGUAGGAACUGAACUCUGCUAAGACAGGUUCACAUGGACCAACCCUACCCUUUCUUUCUGUAAUUUUUCAUUUCCCUGACUUCUGAGCUCCUGCUUGCCCUCCUCCCUACUCCCCCUUUCUCCCUUGAGAUCACCCACUCACCUCUGGACACACAAGUGUCCAGUUCCCUAUUGCAGUGGUAUACUAGUGAUGCAAAUCUGUGCUUGCCACUUUAACCAGUAUUCUGCUUUGUUGGUCUUUGACGGGACCGUCAAUAUUUGUGUAGCGGCCAUUCCCUCUUCCCCUGUUCACAGAAAGGUGAGAGGCAGAGAGGCCAAGGAAUGUGUUUUGUUUUGUUUAAGUUGCUAACAUCUGCAAGAAAAGGGCCAGGCCACAUAUUAUUCCCCAACUGGAUGGCUGCUGGGCAUGCAGUCUUGCCUGGUGAGAUGGAGAGACUUCAGUGGGAAAGUGACCAUAUAGGACAGCCCGGAAGGUGGGGUGUAAGGGUGAUCACAACACAUAAGGGCAGAAAAUACCCUACACUCCUACUCUUGUCCACAGGCUCAAGUUGGGCCAGCAGAAGUAGAUGAGGCUGGAACAGAGGGGAAGGAGAGGUGGACUUCCAAUGCAAUUGUGGGGGGCUGGUGGGGGUGGGGAGCGGCUAGCAUAACCAUUCUCACAAGGGACCCCCAGGCUAAGGGAGCUGUUGCCGUGGUUUUCAUCAGCAGAAGCCGCUAGGGGCCACCGCCUUUUCACCCCAAACCCGCAGACCCUAAUCUGCAGGUCAGUGAAAACGACAUCAAGGGAAAAGAGACCAAAACUACACCACAGCCAUUCACACAAAGGGUCUUCGGUGCCUGUGUCCCUUUACCCUAAAGCCAAGAGGCUGUGUGCAUAGAAAGGGGAGGGGCCGGUGAGCAAGAAGGCCAUGCCCCCCACCCACCCCCCAAUCUUAAAGGUGAAAAUCAAGGCUUUGCUUGGGGGUGGGGAGGUUGGUGGGAUCUGACUUGACUAUGAAAUAGAUUUUUGAAUUGUUUCAAGUCUUUACAACUGGAGUGAAAGCUUUAAUGAUGGAGGGCACCUGGAACGUUCAGGAAUCAGGCUGGGCUUCCACGGGGGAGCCUGCCCCCCUAGCUGGCAGGGUGGAUUAGAAUUGACAGCUACUCAGAAGGAUCCUCCCCUCCCCACCCCCCCACCCCACCCCCACCACCCCUGGGGCUCUUAUGGCCUCAUUUACAACUGGGGAGUCUGUGGCUCUGAGGGUUAAGUAACUCAGAUCAGGUCACAACUACCAGUGGCAGUGCUGAGACUGGAGCCCAGAUACACCAGCGGCCAAGCCCUGGAAGAUGGAAGCCUGUCUCGCAGCAGCCCCUGGUGAGGGGAGUGGGGGUGGGGGGAGGUGGAGUUGCGGGGAGCCCUCCCUCAGAGAGUGUGACAGCCCAGACAUAAUCAGAGCCCUUUGCCCCAGCACGUUUAAGCAUCUCUGGGUUGGGAGCAGUGUGCGGGUAUUUGGCAGAAGCAGCCUUGAGAGAAAGGAGAGGAAGGGUUCAAAUCCAUCCUUCCCCUUGCUCCUCUCCCUUCAAGCUCUAUCACAGGGAACUCUUAAUCCUCAGCUCCACCCCAGGCAGGAGGAUGGCCCCAUCCUGGGAGAAAGCCAUGCCUCUGGGGCAAAGACCCUCUCAGACCAGCCUGGGUGGCCCUCAGUUGACUCUGACUUGAACUUGCUAACACUGACCUGGUCUGCCCUUGGCUGAAAAGUUUUCCCAUAUUAGGCAUUGCCUCUUGGACUUUGGCCUCUUAAACCGGAGCCAAGGAAAAGCGACUCUGAAUGGAAGACUGUGGACUCUAGAAAAAUGGGGGGCUGGGGAAGGUUUGCAGUUAGGGGAGGGACCUGUGUGAAGUCUUGCACUGUCUCUUGUCUCUGAGGUCUGAGACGUCUCACUCUAGGCUGUUCUUUUCUCCAGGUCACACCUCUUCAGGUGUCUCCUCCUCCCUCUACUCUCCUCUUCUGAGUAAGGAUUGGAAAAGUCCUUAGUGAUUUUCCAACUAAAUAAACUAGGAGUUUUCAAGAUUCCUUCUGGACUCUCUUCUGGCUACACUCUGUGUAGAUAAGCCCAUGUUUUCUCAUUAAGUACCUCUGUAUACAACAAUUCGGCUCCUAGCCUGGGAACCUCCACCUCCAUAUGCCAUGAGUGCAGCCGUAAAAAGAAAAGAAAAAAAGGAAGUUCCCGUGGGGCAGUGGAAACGAAUCCAACUAGGAACCAUGAGGUUGUGGGUUUGAUCCCUGGCCUCGUUCAGUGGGUUAAGGAUCUGGCAUUGCCGUGAGCUGUGGUAUAGGUCGCAGACGUGGCUCGGAUCUGGUGUUGCUGUGGCUCUGGCGUAGGUCAUCGGCAACAGCUCCGAUUCGACCCCUAGCCUGGGAACCUCCAUAUGCCAUGGGUGCGGCCCUAAAAAGACAAAAAAAAAAAAAAAAAAAAAAAAAAAAAGAUAAAAAAAAGUACCUCUAUAUACUCGUGACAGUUCAAUUCUUACAUCUUUCCCAUAAUUCUAGACUCAUGUAUCCAGUUGCCUACUUGAUACCUUCAUUUGUGUGUCUCUGAGCAUCUCAAACUCAGUACCCUUCAAAUAGAACUUGUAAUUUUUCAUUGGUAAAUCCCGUUGACUCCAUCUCCA
rnacentral:lncRNA from 1 species